rfam:Papio anubis isolate 1X1155 chromosome 15, whole genome shotgun sequence.
UAGAUUGAAGCUAGCUGAUUAGGGUAUUUAGCUGUUAACUAAAUUUUUGUAGGUUUGAAUUCCACCAAUCUAG